CAAUGGUGUAGAGGCGUUCCCGUGCCAUGUGCAGCACAUUUUGAACUCUAAAGCUUGAUACCGUUAUCAGAUUGAAGGUGAUGGAAGAGUUGACUGUCUAUUGAUCACUAGAAAGUAGAGAGAAGAAAUACUGGCGCGGCGUUGUUCUUCCGUUGUUUUCGGCCAGUUGAUCAUCUCUUUAGCUUUUAAUUUCUCAAACAAUGUGGGGCUGCUACCUUACUAUUAAUCUCCAAAAAUCACGGGGUUCUCAGCUGGGAAGAGCGACUCCGCUACCAACUUGCUUCCAUUAUUUCUACUUCAGCUGCUUUUCCUGCUUUUUACGUAAUUAUACAUUCAGGUGCGGAGGAGUUCACAUCUGAAUGGCGGGCCGGAUGCGGCUAUCCUGACAUGAGGCUUUGUUAGGUAUGGCUUAAGGGACAAAUGCAGGAGCGUAACGAAGCUAGCCAGCUGAGCAGAGUGGAAUGAAAAUAUUUAUCUAAUCGAGGGAGUUUCGUUAUGUGAGUUGGGGGGUAUGGGGCAACGUCCCCGCAAUACGAUUCAACGAUAAUUUUGUAAUUACAUAUUGUAUA